GACGAACGCUGGCGGCGUGCUUAACACAUGCAAGUCGAACGGAAAGGCCCUGCUUGCAGGGUACUCGAGUGGCGAACGGGUGAGUAACACGUGGGUGAUCUGCCCUGCACUUCGGGAUAAGCCUGGGAAACUGGGUCUAAUACCGGAUAGGAGCCAUUUUUAGUGUGAUGGUUGGAAAGUUUUUUCGGUGUAGGAUGAGCUCGCGGCCUAUCAGCUUGUUGGUGGGGUAAUGGCCUACCAAGGCGGCGACGGGUAGUCGGCCUGAGAGGGUGGACGGCCACAUUGGGACUGAGAUACGGCCCAGACUCCUACGGGGGGCAGCAGUGGGGAAUAUUGCACAAUGGGCGCAAGCCUGAUGCAGCGACGCCGCGUGGGGGAUGACGGCCUUCGGGUUGUAAACUCCUUUCGCUAGGGACGAAGCUUUUUGUGACGGUACCUAGAGAAGAAGCACCGGCUAACUACGUG
rnacentral:rRNA from 1 species